UACGUAGGGGGCGAGCGUUGUCCGGAUUUAUUGGGCGUAAAGGGCUCGUAGGCGGUCUGUCGCGUCGGGAGUGAAAACUCAGGGCUUAACCCUGAGCCUGCUUCCGAUACGGGCAGACUGGAGUACUGCAGGGGAGACUGGAAUUCCUGGUGUAGCGGUGGAAUGCGUAGAUAUCGGGAGGAACACCAGUGGCGAAGGCGACUUCCUGGCCUGUUCUUGACGCUGAGGCGCGAAAGCU
rnacentral:rRNA from 1 species